rnacentral:lncRNA from 1 species
GGAAGAUUUACCUGUUUGGGAAUUUUUUUGCACGUUUGGAGGGGAUUUGACCCGUUCCGGGAGCGCUGCCUGGUCUGGGAGGCGGCAGCUCCACGUUCCAGUUAAAACUUCCUCACUCGCUGCCUGCAUUCAGUCUCCGUUAACUUUCUCCUUCCCCGUAAUCAUCUGUGGAGCUGAUCGAUUGCCCGAGGUCGCGAUCGCCAGCCCGGCGCUGGACUGCGGGAGCGGAAUGGGGUGUAGCGAGUAACGGGCGCGUCGGGAACAGGAUGAACCCUUUGCAUUGGGAGAAAAUUAUAAAUUUGUGGCUUGCAUCCUAGGUGCUGUGGGGACUGCUGUGAGUGCAUUCCAUCUCCUCCAGGAGAGUUUUAUCACCUUUGCCGAGGGAAACUGAGGAAGCACAGAGGAUUGAGGAAGAGUGGUGGUGUGGAGCAGAGAGGCUGGAGACUGGAUGGUGCCAUUGAUGCAGCUGCAUCACAGGACAACCCGGUUUUAAGACUUACCUGUGGGACUCGUUGCUUGAAUUUGUUGGUGCAGAGGGAACAUCUCCCAGAGUGGUGCUGGGUGGCUCCAGGUGCUGGAUAGGAAUCUACCCAGCAUGAAACCUUCAUCAGAAAGGAAAGCCCAUCCUCUCAGCUCUGGAGCUUCUCUUGGGCAGCAGGAUACCUGAGUGAGCUGGCCUUGGCUGGGCAGCCUGGUGGUGCCCCCGGGGCAGGGGGUCGUGGUUGCAACCCGGCUUAGCCCUGCCCUGGGCUCUGGCAAAGCAGGAGGGUUUAUCCCAGCAGGUGUUGGCCGUGGCAGGAGGUGCAUGGGGGGGACCAACAGACGUCCCCAGGGAUAAAACCAGACACCACAGCUGUGCUCUGUCCUGCACUGGUCUGUCCUACCUGUGGCAAAUAAUGCAGCAACAUGUUGUGGGGGUCCUCUCACCCCCCUGGCAUGUUCCUCCUUGAGAAGUAACAGCAGAUUAGCCUGGAGCCCCUCUGUGCAGACAAAAGCUGCCACAAAGGGCAUUAGGCUUCAGGAUUGGAUUACCAUGUGGCCACCUGUCAUCCCCACUUUGUAAAUUUAUCUCACUCUGGGUCUGAUUUUCACAUUGGAGAAGUUUGUGCUUGAAAAGCCCCCACAAAAUCCCCUGCCCAGUGCCUUUCCAAGCACAGCCUGGCUGAGUUCAUCUUAGUAUCCCUUCUUAUUCCAGGCUUCAGAGCUGCGCGGGACUGGGGAUUAGGGCUGUUUGAAUGAAGAGAGCCUUUAUUACAUUAGUUUAAGUGGUUAAUAGGUAAAGUAGGCCAAUCCAUCUUUAGACUAAGCCUACCACUUUGCCUACGGAGGGUGCAGGCUUCACCGAGGAAAUGUUCAUUAACGGAAAAGCUUUUCCUCUGUCCCUCUUGACAUGUUAAUAGCU